GGGCUUUGGUCCAUCAGCUGGACAGCUCCCGGCAGAAGCAGGAUGGCCUCCCAGAAUUGGUCACAUUGCCAGUUCUCUCUGCCCAAAAUAGCAAGUGCCAAGUUCAUGUCCCUUCAGACUAGACUGGCUAUAAAAUUUUCAGGGCCCAGAGCAAGGUGACCAUGUGGGGCCCCUCAUUCAGAAAUGCUUAGGACUUUCGAGAUGGUGACAGCAGAGCAUUAAAGCAAGCGCGGGCUCUUUGGAGCACGUGUCCCAGUGCGAUUGCGCUGGCCUUGCACUCACGGGCUAGGGUCGGCGCCCAGCCCGCUGGCCUCGGUUUGGGGAGCCCCGUCGGGCAGCUUGCUGAACCCGGGGGGAGCACAGGGGCCGCGGUGCCUGGACUUGCCUGGUGUGCGCCAGGGUCUGCACGUCGGUGAGGUCGAAGGCUGUGACGAUCACUGCACACCCGGAAAAAGCCAACAGCCAAUCAGCCACAGGGGUGUGAGCGGGGCCGGACAGGGGCUUCCUCUGCACUUGGCUGAAGGCUGCAGGAGAGACCGGUCCGCUCCGAGGUGGAGGGGAAGGGAGAGACCAAGGACAGGGAUGACAGCAGCCAGGCGCCUCACAUCCCGCCCCCAGGAGAGAAGCACCCCCUCUCCCAGAAGAGAGAGGCCUGCGAGGCGGAGGGUGCAGGCAGAGCUGAGCUCCAACCUGCAGCCAGCUGAGGCGCUCAGGGUUUGUUUCCUGAUUUUGCUUCUUUCAAAUUGUAAUGAAGGUGUUGUGAUUUCUUUUCUUAACACUACUGAGUAGACAUAAUGGCACCCUGUAA